GAUGAACGCUGGCGGCGUGCCUAAUACAUGCAAGUCGAACGCUGAAGGAAGGAGCUUGCUCUUUCCGGAUGAGUUGCGAACGGGUGAGUAACGCGUAGGUAACCUGCCUGGUAGCGGGGGAUAACUAUUGGAAACGAUAGCUAAUACCGCAUAACAGUAGAUGUUGCAUGAUAUCUACUUAAAAGGUGCAAUUGCACCACUACCAGAUGGACCUGCGUUGUAUUAGCUAGUUGGUGAGGUAACGGCCCACCAAGGCGACGAUACAUAGCCGACCUGAGAGGGUGAACGGGCAAACUGGGACUGAGACACGGCCCAGACUCCUACGGGAGGCAGCAGGAGGGGAACUUCGGAAAAGGGCGGAAGGCUGACCGAGGAACGCCGCGGGGGUGGAGAAGGGUUUCGGAUCGUAAAGCUCUGUUGUAAGGGAAGGACGAGUGUAAGAGUGGAAAGUUCACACUGUGACGGUAUCUUACCAGAAAGAGACGGCUAACUACGUG
rnacentral:rRNA from 1 species